CCACGAGAGGCAGCAGUGGGGAAUAUUGGACAAUGGGCGAAAGCCUGAUCCAGCCAUGCCGCGUGUGUGAAGAAGGCCUUCGGGUUGUAAAGCACUUUCAGUGGGGAAGAAAGCCUUGGGGCUAAUACCCUCGAGGAAGGACAUCACCCACAGAAGAAGCACCGGCUAACUCCGUGCCAGCAGCCGCGGUAAUACGGAGGGUGCGAGCGUUAAUCGGAAUUACUGGGCGUAAAGCGCGCGUAGGCGGUCUGAUAAGCCGGUUGUGAAAGCCCCGGGCUCAACCUGGGAACGGCAUCCGGAACUGUCAGGCUAGAGUGCAGGAGAGGAAGGUAGAAUUCCCGGUGUAGCGGUGAAAUGCGUAGAGAUCGGGAGGAAUACCAGUGGCGAAGGCGGCCUUCUGGACUGACACUGACGCUGAGGUGCGAAAGCGUGGGUAGCAAACAGGAUUAGAUACCCGAGAGC
rnacentral:rRNA from 1 species